rnacentral:tmRNA from 1 species
GGGGGUGACAUGGUUUCGACCGUGAGCGUUGAGGCGCCGGAAGCGAGCCGAGGUCGCCGGAGUCCUCGUUAAAGAGCCGGUACACAUAUAAGUGCAGACGAAAGUUACGCACUGGCAGCGUAGAUAAACGCUCCUGUUCUCCCGGAGGGUGCCCACCUCGCCGGAUGAGAGCAACGCAAUGUGGGACGCUCCUGCCGGGACUUCCGGGACCGGCAGGCUAAGACAAUUCCGGAUAGGGCAUGAGGGUGCUUGCCGACAGAGUCCUCGUGUUCCGAAAGCUCGCUGUUGGCUGCGCUCGGAGAUGCCG